GUUCCUGUAGUGUAGUGGUUAUCAUGUUUGCUUUACAUGCCAAAGGUCUCUGGUUCGAAACCAGACAGAAAACG
rfam:Poecilia formosa, whole genome shotgun sequence.